rnacentral:rRNA from 1 species
CCGCCAGAGAACUACGAGCAAACGCCUAAAACUCUAAGGACUUGGCGGUGCCUUAAACCCCCCUAGAGGAGCCUGUUCUAUAAUCGAUAAUCCACGAUCCACCUCACCAUCUCUUGCCAAUACCGUCUAUAUACCACCGUCACCAGCCUACCCUAUGAAGGACAUAAAAGUAGGCAAAAUAGCCWACAACAGCUAAUAAGUCAGGUCAAGGUGUAACUAACUGAGAUGGAAGAAAUGGGCUACAUUUUCUAAACUAGAAAUAACAUCACAGAAAAAACCAUGAAACAGGUUCCAUAAGCAGGAUUUAGCAGUAAAUAGGAACCAGAAUGCCUAAUUUAAGCCGGAUUCAAGGCACGCACACACCGCCCGUCACCCUCCUCAAAUCUUCAACACCUAUCCUAUUAAUAAAACCAUGACAAACAAACAGAUGAGGCAAGUCGUAACAAGGUAAGUAUACCGGAAGGUGUACUUGGAACAUU